AGAGUUUGAUCCUGGCUCAGGAUGAACGCUAGCGGCAGGCCUAAUACAUGCAAGUCGAACGGUAGAUUACUUUCGGGUAAUUGAGAGUGGCGCACGGGUGCGUAACGCGUAUGCAACCUACCCUAUACAGGGGGAUAGCCCGGAGAAAUCUGGAUUAAUACCCCAUAGUACUAUGAUGAGGCAUUUUGUUAUAGUUAAAGAUUCAUCGGUAUAGGAUGGGCAUGCGUCUGAUUAGCUAGUUGGCGGUGUAACGGACCACCAAGGCGACGAUCAGUAGGGGUUCUGAGAGGAAGGUCCCCCACACUGGCACUGAGAUACGGGCCAGACUCCUACGGGAGGCAGCAGUAGGGAAUAUUGGGCAAUGGACGAGAGUCUGACCCAGCCAUGCCGCGUGCAGGAAGACGGCGUUCUGCGUUGUAAACUGCUUUUAUCUGGGAAGAAAAGGCCCAUGCGUGGGACAUUGCCGGUACCAGAUGAAUAAGCACCGGCUAACUCCGUGCCAGCAGCCGCGGUAAUACGGAGGGUGCAAGCGUUGUCCGGAUUUAUUGGGUUUAAAGGGUGCGUACGCGGCUAUUUAAGUCAGUGGUGAAAGACCUCCGGGCUCAACUUUUGGAAUUUGGAUUGGUUGGUAAGCCGUUGAAAUGCAUAAGGAUACCAUCAGGGAACACCCGAUAGCGAAAGGGCAUUGUACUGGGCCAAAUAACCUGACGCUGAUGCACGAAAGCAUGGGGAGCGAACAGGAUUAGAUACCCUGGUAGUCCAUGCCGUAAACGAUGAUUACUCGCUGUUAUGGCUUUAUGUUGUAGCGGCCAAGCGAAAGCGUUAAGUAAUCCACCUGGGGAGUACGCCCGCAAGGGUGAAACUCAAAGGAAUUGACGGGGGUCCGCACAAGCGGUGGAGCGUGUGGUUUAAUUCGAUGAUACGCGAGGAACCUUACCUGGGCUAGAAUGUGAGGGAAUGAUCUGGAGACAGAUCAGUCAGCAAUGACCCGAAACAAGGUGCUGCAUGGCCGUCGUCAGCUCGUGCCGUGAGGUGUUGGGUUAAGUCCCGCAACGAGCGCAACCCCUAUGUUUAGUUGCCGGCACGUAAAGGUGGGGACUCUAGACAGACUGCCUGCGCAAGCAGAGAGGAAGGAGGGGACGACGUCAGGUCAUCAUGGCCCUUACGCCCAGGGCGACGCACGUGCUACAAUGGCGCAUACAGCGGGUCGCGAGCCGGUAACGGUCAGCCAACCUCUAAAAGUGCGUCUCAGUUCGGAUCGGGGUCUGCAACUCGACCCCGUGAAGCUGGAAUCGCUAGUAAUCGCGCAUCAGCCAUGGCGCGGUGAAUACGUUCCCGGACCUUGUACACACCGCCCGUCAAGCCAUGGAAGUCGGGUAGACCUGAAGACAGUAACCGAAAGGAGCUGUUUAGGGUAGAACCGGUAACUGGGGCUAAGUCGUAACAAGGUAGCCGUA
rnacentral:rRNA from 1 species